rfam:Microsporum canis CBS 113480 supercont1.3 genomic scaffold, whole genome shotgun sequence.
GGACCCGUGGCGCAAUGGUAGCGCAGCAGAUUCCAGAUCUGAAGGUUGUGCGUUCAAUUCGCACCGGGUUCA